UUUUUUUUUGAGACACAGUCUCACUCUGUCGCUCAGGCUGAAGCGCAGUGGUGUGAUCUCAGCUCACUGCCACCUUUGCCUCCCUGGGUUCAGCGAUUCUCCUGCCUCAUCCUCCUGAGUAGUUGGGAUUACAGGUGCACACCACAAUGCCUGGCUAACUUUUGUAUUUUUUAGUAGAGACAGGAUUUCACCAUAUUGGCCAAACUGAUCUUGAGCUCCUGACCUCGUGAUCUGCCCAACAUGGACUUCCAAAGUGCUGGGAUUGCAGGUGUGAGCCACUGUGCCUGGCCCAUAGUUUUAUCCUAUCUGUUUAAAAAUAAAGAUGGAAAGAUACGUAUGUCAAUAAGUUUACAUUUCUUUUUUAAUACUUUGCUGCACUGUCCGGGUAUGGACAAUCAGUUCACAUUCUGAAGCUACGUGGCUAACCCGGAGUGCUCACUGUGGCUAACCCGGAGUGCUCACCGUGGCUAACCCGGAGUGCUCACCGUGGCUAACCCGGAGUGCUCACCGUGGCUAACCCGGAGUGCUCACUGUGUGUGCCAGGCCCUGGGCUCAAUGCUCUACAUGCAUUUUUAUUUCAUUUAAUUCUCUCCACUACCUGAGAUAAAAUAGCCAACCCAUUUUACAGAGUUGAAACUGAGGCUCAGAGACUGAAAGUUAAGUGCCUGAGGUUGCAGUUAAUAAGAGGCGGAGCUGGAACUGAAGCCUACGUGUGCCUGACAGCCAGUUCACGUUCUGACAGUAGGCCAGUCUGCUUCACAGAGCGUGGAGUAGAUGGUGCAUGCCUGCUAGGAUGGACCAGGUAUCACUGUAGGUAAUGAGCAGCCCCCAAAAAUGGAAAUUUACAACACUGAAGGCUCUUUCUCUGCUCAUGCUGCACAUCCUCCCUGGCUCUCCUGGGUCUUGUGCUCCACAUCCCAUCAUCUGCCACCAGAAUAAAGAAGCAGCCUCCAUAUGGGACCUGUCAGUGGCUCUAAGAGAUGAAGGAAAGGGUGGCCAGGCUUAAUGGCUACCAACUCUUUUGCCUCGAGGUGACACACUUCACUUUCAGUCACAUCGCCUGAGUCAAAGCAAAUGCCAUAACGACCUCCACCUUCAGGGGCCCAGAGGAGAGCCUGAAAUCCUUGGUGGACUCCAUCAAGGCCACCAUACGGUGUCAGCCUGUGUGGGAGACUGGAGGGGCAGAGGAGAGUGGGGAAGUGAUGGGAAAUGAUAGCAGGACUGAGUCAUGUGCAUUUGCUUUAUCCUCUACCAGGUAGUUUGUCCCAGAGCUGCACAGAAUCAGCAGCAGCAUGAUCAAACAGGGUAAACUUCAGAAAAAGCAGUUUGUUCAGAUGUGAUCCGCAGUGAACUCAGAAUCAGCUGAGUGGCAUUGAGUCAGUAAAUCUCUGACUGCCUCAGUUACCCCAUAUGAUAGUGGUGAAGAUGCGAGCAUUGAGAGUUGGCUUGGAAGGAUAUCAGGAGUGUGAGCAUUCAGCAUUGUAGUUCCUUUAAGUUAAAUCAGGCACUAUCUUUCCUGCAAGUCCCCUGUUUCUUUCAGAUUGCACAGGUGAGAGUGCUCAGAUUAGGGCUGGAGGUCGUGAAAUAUUGCUUCGCACACCAGCAGGUCCCCUGUGUUGUGCAUGCAUUUCAUGCACUUCGUGGGGCCUGAUUCUUCCUCCUUGUUCCAGCGGCCCUGGGUGACUCAAGUGGCCAUUCAAUGACCAGGACUCAGAGGUCUUAGAGUGAUGCUCCAUGAGGCCCCAGGUGCCAGCCACUGCCCUGUCAAAGUGUGAGGCAAGGAACAGGGCAUCAUCUGUGGGGGCACUGGCCAGCCAGGCUUGGUGACUCUACUUGGUGGACAGAUGAUCCGACACCUGCCACCUCUGAUGGACCCACUGCCUCUGUGCCUGUUUGUCCUGCUGAUGCUCCAGUGGCUGCCCCAGCAUCCCAGCCUAGGUCCAAUGCCACUGAAGACAGACCUGGCCCCUGGGGACCCAGGAGACCUACAGGACUCACUAAGCUGUCCCUAGGAGUCCCCAGACCCUCAUUCUUAUCAAGGACCUAAGAGCCCCACCCCCUGGCCCUCCCUCAACAGCUGUAAAUGAUGAUUUAUUGCUGUUACCAUCAUCACUGUCUUGAGUGGCCAAGGACCUUCCAAGGUGCCCGCUCUGGAAGAAAAGAUGUCCUUGGGAGGUGAUGACAUUCGAUACACAGGUGCUCAACAGGUUGCUUCCUCCUAUCCUCAGACGGUCUUUGACACAGCCAUUGACACUCAUAUUGUGUGAAAGGAAAGCAGCCCAGGGUCACACAGCUGGUCUCAAAUCUAAGGUGCCUUGCUCUGCCUCUAUGAGGGAGCUGUCUGCAAAGGAGGUUGGCCCUGGCUUUGAGGAGACUUUCCUGUGCUGCAUGAAUCACCUCCUCAGUUGGAGGCCCCAAACUCUGCUCACAUCUUCUGCCUUGCCCUGUCUCUGCCUGGGCGAUAAUCAAGGUGACCCCAGCAACCCUCCAUGGACAUGAGGGUAUUCUCUGCCAUUUGCAUUUGGGAUAAUCUGACUUCAACACACACUUACGUGGUCUCUCCUUUUACAACAAAGUCAACCCCAAUGUGGGGCUCUUUAUGCAGCUGGCAGCACACGAAUAGAAUUGAACGCCAUAGUUGUGUUGUCCCUGUUCUGUUUCUGUUUUCCUUGUGUCUCAGGGUUGUAUUUCUAUUUAUGGUAAAGGCAUUGGCUUUCCAUUUGAAGCAUGAAUAGAAUAUUUGUGGUGUACAAUAACUUUACGGCAUAGUAAAUUGUAAGGAGAUUUAAAGCAGUGGUUUUCAGCUGUGAGAGGCCUGAGUAUGUUCGAGCACUCUGUGUGAUCAGGCAGAAGCAGGCCUUUGCGAAGUUUAGCUGAGGAUGGGUCCAGGAAAGAUAAUGGACAGUGGAGGUCUGACCUGGUCACCAGACCCCUGGGUCCUGCCCACCAGCUUGGCACUCCCCACCCAUCACUCCUGAUCUGCCAAAGCCUCUGGGUAUUUUGGCCAAAUCUCCCAGGAGAGAGGCUGAUGAACUUUAUCCCUUGAAAUGCACAGAUUCAUUGGACGUCCCUGGGAGUUCAACCAUGAGAGUCAACUUGGUUUUCUCCCCCUCAUUAGGGUUCAGAAUUAAAAGUCCACCUUCAGAGGCAGUAAGAUAAUAUAGAUAAGUGACACCAUCACCCCGUUUCAGAUGGUAACAGGUCUAGGUGUGUAAGGGGUGAUUUGAGACCACACAACCUUGUCCCACACAGUGGAAUUCCCGGGCCAGAGGGAGACAUUUGAUUGCCAUGUUAUGAUCUUCUCACUGAGUGUAAAGACAGUCUUGUUCCAUUUUGGAUUCUUUCUUCUGUUGAUAUAAGGGCACUUUGAAUUUCCAAGCAUAUAAUAAUUUUUGGUUAGCUUUUGAUCAUUGACUUCGAGCACAAUUCUGUGAUCAGAAAACUGCUGUGUGACUGGAUUUGUCUGAAGUAUAUUGAUGUGCUUGAUGAACGCAGUAAGUCGGGUUAAUUUUUGUCAAUGUGCCAUGCAUGCUUAAAACCGGGGCAGCUCCAACAUUCGUUCCUGAGAUACAGGAUGAUGGACGAUGGCCCCAUGGAUGUGGUGGAGAUGGUUUACUCUUGGGACGUUCCGCAUCUUUCUGAUGUUUUGUUGCUUAGUAUAUGAAUGGCGGAGAGCGGGCUGUGGAGCUCCCACUCUGCUGGUGUGUGAGGUUCUUCCUGCCAUCAUUUGUUUCUUAUACUUUGCAGCCAGGACUGACCAUGAGAAACCCUGGGAGUUCAGGAAGGAAGGAGCCGCCCAGAAGCAGGGACAGGGAGCUGGUGGGGAAGGCCAGAAGUCAGUUCUGUGAAGGUUCCAGAGAGCCUUGGGAGGUGCUUGGGAACUGAGAUGGGGGGGGCAUUGGAAGACGAGGGUGUUCCAUGGAUUGUCCACUGUGAGGUACCACGUUCCGGGGCUGGGGAUUGGUGGAGGGGGAGUAUAAAGCCCCAGGGUUGCUUAGGCAGCGCCCAGACAGGAGAAGGUGUGGUGGGAACCAGAGCCCUGGUCUUUGCCUAAUUGCUCCUGAGCCUCCUGCUUUCUUGCCCACAUGUCCUGUGGCUUCCCUGAUACUUUCUCCCUACUUGUAGCUGAACUUCCCACUCGCCCUUGAAGACUUAGUUUGAACCGGAUCCUUUCCCAGAACCCCUCUUCCAGGGCUCCCUGACAGGACCAGGACAUACAAGUUUGGUGGCUGCUCUUUUGGCUCCUCCUGCUGGGGUUUCCCAGCCAUCAAUCCACGCACCUGCCCCGAGUAAAUCCCAGCACAUGGUGAAAACCACAUUUGGAAUAUUUUAGCUGCUGGCUGUGUGGAAAAUCACUUGCAUCCCCAACUUUCAACUGUGAAAGGACAAGUAUUUAUACUGAACAACACGGAAUUCUGUGACUAUGAUCAAAGAUAAUAUGUGAGACUCCUGGCAACAUGUGAUGCAAGAACGUGCUCAUUCAUAGAUUGCAGACAAAUAGAGACCGAGUCUUGCUCUGUCGCCCAGGCUGGAGUGAAAUGGAGUGAUCGCGGCUCACUGCUUCCUAUGCCUCCCAGGAUUAAGUGAUUCUUCUGCAUCAGCCUCCUGAGUAGCUGGGAUUACAGACCGAGUCUUGCUCUGUCACCCAGGCUGGAGUGAAAUGGAGUGAUCGCGGCUCACUACUUCCUAUGCCUCCCAGGAUUAAGUGAUUCUUCUGCAUCAACCUCCUGAGUAGCUGGGAUUACAGCCUACCACUGAAAUGGAACAUCGUGUUGUGAGAGAAGCAGUACAAAGAAAGAAUGUACACAAAUCGAGAGCAGGUACAUUUUCAAUACAAAUGGAAUGCUGGAAAUAAGUAUAUUAAAUGAUUGGAAGUACUCACAUUUUUCUUACCGCUAAUUCUUUUUAUUCUAAAUUGAAUGAAAGGCAUUGACAUAAAUGUUAUUGUUAGUAUCCAUAUUUCAAUAAAAUUUAGAAGUAUAAGAAAACAAGAUUUUAAAAAUAUGAGUUUUAACUCAGAUGUUUCCAUUUUAAUAUUUUGAAUAGCAUAACGUUUCCAAGAAGGAAUUUUUAUAUUUGUCAGGAAUUCAAAGCAGUGAAUUUUGAGGUUCUAAGAUAUGUGCUAGUUGGAGUUCUGAUGCUUACUAAAGAAAUGCUUUACUUAGAUAUUAGUUUCUGUAUAAAUGUUAGAGACUUCCUGUUAAUGUUAUUACACCAAGAAUCUGAAACCAAUGAGAUGUUCUAACGAGCAAACUGUGCGCAUGUGUGUGCAUGGCUGUGUGUAUGGCUGUGUUUGUGGCAUCUUUCAUUAUUAAAAACUGGAAAAGUAAUUCAUUCCUAACUAGAAGACAGUCUUAAAAUGGUGGUUUUAAGACUUUUUGGUAUAAAAGUUUAAAAAAAAAAUUGCAUAGAGGCGACCAACAUCAUGAACAUCAUUGAGGCUACCAACAUCACUGGCUGUUUUCCAUUUCCGUACCCUUUUGAAACCCUUACCUAUAUUGUGAUCCUCAGAAAUAAUAUGCAGAAUUUUUAUUUGUGUCAUAAAAUGGAAUGUGAGUGGUUCUACCCUUUACAUACCUUUCUGCCACUUUCUUUUGGGUACUUUGUAUUAUAUUUUCAAGAUGUAUCCACAUUGAUUCCAUCAGCUCUGGUUCAAUUCAUUUUACACUUGUUGUGUCCCUGCAUACCACUCUGCCACAUUGAAGCAGACACUCCUGUUGCUGGUAAAUGAAGAAAUAAAAAACAGAGAAAGAAAAAUAAGGUAAGUGCAGUGGCUCACACCUGUAAUCCCAGCAGUUUGGGAGACUGAGGGGGGCAGACGACGAGGUCAGGAAAUGGAGACCAUCCUGGCAUACAUGGUGAAACCCCAUCUCUAUUAAAAUAUAAAAAAAUAGCUUGCAUGGUGGCACACGCCUGUGGCUCCAGCUAUUCGGGAGGCUCAGACACAGAAAUUGCUUGAACCAGUAAGGCGGAGGUUGCAGUGAGCCAAAAUUGUGCCAUUGCACUCCAGUCUGGCAGCAGAGCAAGACUGCCUCAAACAAAAGAAAAAUGUCAGUUUAAAAGGAGCUUUUGUUUAAUUUGUAUUUGUGAAUAUUUACUAUAUGAGAGUUUAAGGAGCUUUGGUUUGGUUUCUAUCUGUGAAUAUUUAUUAUAUGAGAGUUAAAGGCUGAGAAGUUCAGAAUGUUCAGAAGUUCACCACCAUAUUUUACAAAUGCCCUUAGAAUUAUGAGUCAUGAGCCUUUAGCCUAUGAAGUUGUGACAAUUCAUUUCUCUAAAAAAGUUUACUGUACUCGUCUCUUAAAAAAAGGACUGAAAAUAGCAAAUGACAUUCUUAUUUGACCUCCUGGACAUCCUCAAAUGAAACUGCAACUUACUCAUGUCAAAAUGCAGAACCAACAUUUUGAAGAAUAUAUACAGUUUGUGAAAGUCUCAUGGUCAUGAGCCCUUGAUUAUGAAAUGGCCUUUCAGGUUUUACUUUUGCAUUUUUUGUUCUUUUUCUUGACUUGUCUAACAAAAGCUUAAAUUCAAGUUUUAUUUCUACAGAAAGAAGGAAUUUGAUGUUUUAAUAUAUUUCUGUCCUGUCUCAUGGCAUUGUGAACUCUUCAGAUCAGGUAUGGACCUAGACUUAUUUUUACAUGGGAACAAUUAGGUUUGUUUCUUUGUUGUUGAUGAGACAGACUCUUGUUCUGUGAUGUGGUUCCGAGUGGAUAAGCUCUUAAAGCGGUCAUCUUUUCAGUGGUUCUUUCUGGGGGAGGUAAAAUGGCAAGUGAAUUUGGGCCUUGUUAUAUGUAGGGCAGAGUACACAGCUACAACUAAGUAAAACACCCAGCACCUUCCCCAAGAGUAUUGGCCAGAGUAACACACUAAUAUCUCGAGCUCAUCUCCACUGGCAGCGGGAAAGUUUUUGCAAGAAUCUGUUUCUGGUCUGAUUCUUACAUUUUGCUGACUUUUCGUGAUAGAGUGUUUUAUCUUGAACUGAACAGUUUUAACUAAAGAGCUAGAAUGUGUUGUGUUACAACAAUGUAAGUGCAGUAGUUCCCCCUUAACUAUGGGAGACACAUUUAGAAGUCCCUAGUGAAUGCCUGAAAGCACAAAUAGUACUGAACUACUGUUUUUAUUCUAUACUUAGGUAUCUAUGAUACUUGAUAAAUUAGGCACAGUAAAAAAUUAAUAAAAUGGAAAAUUACAGUAAUAUGCUGUAAUAAAAGUUUAUUUGAAUGUGGUCUCUUAAAAUAUGUUAUGGUUCUCACCCGUUUUCCUGUGAUGAUGUGAAGGCAGUGCCUAUGUAAUGAGAUGAGGUGAGGUGAAUGACGUAGGCACUGUCAUAUACUGUUAGGUCACUAUUCACCCCUGACUCUAAGUCAGAAAAAAAGAUCAGCUUUGAGUGUUCCUGGGCCUUGAGGCCUUAAUGAUGUUGAUGGCUGGAUGCAGGAGACCGUGUUGAUGAUUAGGGCUGGAAAGCACAUGCAGUGUGAAUGCCCUGGACAAAGGAAUGAUUCACAUCCUGGGAUGGAUAGAGGGCAAUAGCUCAAAAUUUUAUUGUGCUUCUCAGACUGGCACACUGACACUUACGACUUGUCUAUUUCUGGAGUUUUCAAUGUAAUAUGUUUGGAAUACGUUAACUGUUAGUAGCUGGAACCACAUAAUUCAAAACUGCAGAUGUAAAAUCUGUGUUUGGACUUUGACACAUUUCUUGGUGUACAAUCCGUAAAAUCCUUCGAAUUUCCAAAGUGAUGUAUUUUAGUAUGCUAAUGAUCAAUGGCUGGAAGCUCCUAGGUAGAUUCAGGAUGGGAACUGGUACCAUCCUGAAGACAUGCCUGAUUAGAGGUUUGAGAUCUUCCGUCUCUGCAAACUCUGGGGAGAAGGGCUGAAAGUUGUCAGUCACCAACAGCCAGGGAUUGAUUAGUUAUGCCUAUGUAUUGAAGCUUUCAUAAAGACCCAAAGGGACUGGGCUUGGAGAGCUUCCAGAUCGCUGAAUACAUGGAGGUUCCUGGAGGGUAGUGUGUCCUGAGAGGGAAUCUCUGUGCUACUAGCCCCAUACUUUGCACUAGGCAUCUCUUCAUCUGUACCUUUUGUAGUGUCAUUCACAGUAUGCUAAGUGUGCUUCCUGAGUACUCUGAGCCAUUCCAGCAACUCAAUUCAACCCAAAGAGGGAGUCCUGGGAACCCCAAUUUGAAGCUGAUUGGCCAGAAGUUCUGGAGUUUCAGACUUAGGACUGAUGUAGCGAGGCAGUCUCACGGGACUGAGGCCUUUAGCUGUGGAAUCUGAUGCUAUCUGCGGACAGCGUGAGAACUGAAUUAGAUGACACCCAGUUUGUCUCAUCUGCAGAAGUGGCUGCUUGCCUGUUGGUGGGGAAAACCUCUCCACAUGUUUGGUCUCAGAAUCUUUGUUGAUGACUUGCUGUGGUGUGAGAGCAGAGAAAAAUGGCAAAUGUGUCUUUUCCACACUUAUGGUGGAUAAGGGGUACUACUGUUUUAAUGGCCCUCUCAUAUUUUGGUCCAGAAAUCAUGAUGUUUGACACUGGUCACUCAUGUUUAACAAAUACAAAGGGAAUUAAGAGUUCUUACGGCAUUAAUUACAUACCAAUAAGUAUAACUUAUAUUAAUUCUAAUACGGUCCAAGGCAUGCUCCCAGAUGAAUGCUUUGUAAAAAAGCAUCAGUCUACUUUAAAGAAAAAUGAUCUAAAUCAUAUACGCAACUGUGCAUACUUUUUUUUAAGUGAAGAUAGAAUCUUGCUGUUUCCUAAACUGGUCUCAAACUUUUGGGUUUCUCAGGUGAACCUAAUUCCUCAGCCUCCCAAAUAGUUGAAAUUACAGGCAUGCAUCACUGUACUUUCUUAUGGUUUUAAUAUUCUACACAUUAUUGAUUUAAAAUGCAUUUUACCUUUUCCUUUAAUAGAUUCUGGGAGUUCUGAUGAAUCUGCAGUCAGGUAGGAUUUUACCGAUUUGAAAAUUAUGUUAACUAAGAAAACAUAUAUGGAAGAAACUAAUAUCUAUUGAGUGUUGCAUUCUGGGCUAAGCACCCUAUUAUGUGCUAUGCAAUUAGCUCAUCAAGCCAUCACGUUUUUCUCAUAACCUACUGUUUAUUAAAUAGGCAGCUGUGGUUUAGAGGGGCUGAUUAAUUGGACCAUGAUUCCGUAGUUCACAAAGUAGACCACGCACAGUUGGACCGUCAGCCUCUCUGGCUUUCAAAUCUUUUCUCCUGCUCCUCAGCACAGACUGAUAGAGAUACCUGUGCAGCACUUUGAUCAAGGUAUAGGUCUGAAUAAGAUUAAUCAGAUAAAUUAUUUUAAUGUCUAAAUUAAUGAGUUUAAAUAAGUUAAACUCUCAUUUUAGGUUACUGUUAGAGAUGACGUUAUUCCUUGAGUUUGUCCCAAUAAAUAUGACAAUUUCUGCAGUAACCAGCAUUUUUUUUUUUUUUUUUUAAUUAACAAUCAAAGUCUUUAGGGCAGAAUAAAGGUUUGGCCAUAGGACUGGAAGUUUUAUAAAAACCAAGAUUUGGCAAGUCUUGGAGAGAAAGUAUUUACCUUCCCAGUUUUGUUUUCCCUUUAGGCUAGUAUCUCUGCCUACUUCCAUAACGCUUUUUUAUUUUUCUUUUUCCUUGACUUUUCUUCCUUGGUGUUUUCGUAUGUUUUCAAAUUCUACUGGCUGUGUAUUCAGAAUUUUCCUAUAGACAGAACCAAAACCCAACAGAAUUACAGAAAUUUAAGGUGUCUUAGAACUAAUUAAAAUAUCUUCUAGUACUUCAAUCUGUGUUGAAUGUUCUGGUCAAGAAAUUUUCUAAUAGAGAACUUGAGACUCAAAGAGAUUAGGAUGCUUUUUUUUUGGAAAUAAGACAUGGUAGAAGUGAGAUUUUGACUUGUUUUAAAGCCCAAUAAUCUUCCUUUUUUUACCUAUUGGCAUGUUUUUGUUGUUGCUGUUGUUUGUUUUUUGAGCAGAGUUUCGCUCCUGUUGCCAGACUGGAGGGCAAUUGCACAAUCCCAGCUCACCACAACCUUUGCCUCCUGGGUUCAAGCGAUUCUCCUGCCUCAGCCUCCUAUCUGGGAUUACAAGCAUGCACGACCACGCACAAAUAAUUUAGUAUUUUUAGCAGAGACGGGGUUUCUCCAUGUUGGUCAGGCUGGUCUCAAACUCAUGACCUCAGGUGAUUUGUCCGCCUUGGCCUCCCAAAUUGCUCGGAUUAUAGGUGUGAGCCACCAUGCCUGACCUGGCAUGUGUUUUAAUAAUACAAAGGGGGAGUGAAUCUGGUGCACCCAGUGGAUAGAAUGAGAAUGGAAUUAGCUGGUGAACCCAAUGGAAAUGGCUAAGAAUGGAAUGAGCAGGGCAAGGCCAGGUUUGACGAGAAAAGACUCUGAAUACAGAUUAUUCAGUAAGAGAUUAGAAUAUUGGGGUUUAUGACAAGUCUGAUAAAUUAUGAAGAACUCAAAAUAUUGGGAAUUAUCUACAAAGGCACAUUAAAAUAGAGGGCUCAAGGAAGCUCUAAAGAGAUUGCUAUGCUCUUUUUAAAUCAAGAACUGACAAACUUGAAUAUUUUUGCUGUAAGAUGCUAAAACAUUUGGAGACACUGGGAGGAAUCUACGGCAGACAGAAAUGUGGUAUCAUCUGAUUUCAUCCUGACUUACAGAGGAGGCUUAGAGCCCCUUGAGUACUGAUGUGCUCGAGAUUGCUGAACUACAUAGAUCAGUGGCCCAAGGUAGGUGUCUCAUCUCUGCCUCUUUUCCCAAUUCACUGAUGUCCUUCCCAUAUCCACAUAGACUGGGGGUCAGGGGCAGCAUUGGCUGUGAAAUCAGUCAAGAAGUUCAGCUGGGUAGUUGGAGGUGUGUCUGUCCUGGUAAUUUGUAGAGACUCCAAUUAGGCUGUUAUUCAGGAGCAGGGAUAUACAGCACUCCCACUCCUGGCCAUUUGAGACCAUCUUUACAGGAACCUGUGCUUUCAAAGACUGAAGAUUUCAAGAUUGGAAACUGCCAUGGAGCCCUGCAAAAGUGGAAUCUGGAAGUGGGAACCCAUAGGAAGGAAGCAUUUUCCAUGAACCGUGUGUGGAUUCAUGCUUGAAACCAGAUGAUGAAAACUUGACUGUUACUACCAAGGUCAGAGAUGUAAGGAAAAUCUGCAAGGAGGAAGCCAUGCCCUUGGCAUAGAAGCAGCUUGUUCCCGGGAUAAAGAGGUACAUUUGGAAGAGCACGCCAAAGUUGGACAGUAAACCAACAAGGGAACUGUUGAGCAGAGUCAAGAGGCUGGGGACUUGAGCCUGCAUUUUGGGGGUACACACAGAUGACAAAAGGAGAAACACAUCAUAAACCCAGUUUCAAAUGGCACUUUGGCAUAAAAUUAUUUUGCUGCCCAAACUGACAUUUAAUAUUGGUUGAAAUGAAAAAGACAUACCAGCCAUCAACUUUUUACCAUGUAAUUAUUGUAAUGAAUAAUGUCAUGUCUUUUUACUUUAACGCUCUUUUGAAAAUGGGUAAUAAAUGAACAAUGUACAGAAUUCAAAAAUCAUAAAAUAGUAUGGACGUUGAGAAUAUUUUGUUAAGUGAAACAAACCAGUCACAAAAAGACAAAUACUAUAUGAUUCCAUUUGUAUGAACUGUCUAGAGAAGUCCAAUUUAUAGAAUCAAAAAGUAGAAUGGUGACUGCCGAGGGUAGGUGAAAGUAUUAAGUACUUGUUUAAUGGCUACGAAAAAGUUUUGGAGACUGUACUAUAUGAAUAUACUUAACACUACUGAACUGUACCCUUAAAAAUGUUUAAGGUAGUAAGUUUUGGUAUAUGCAUUUUAUCACAAUUAAAAAUUUUUUUAAAAGGCUGGGUGAGGUGGCUCAUGCCUAUAAUCCCAGCACUUUGGGAGGCUGAGGCAGGAUCACAAGGUCAGGAGUUCAAGACCAGCCUGGCCAAAAUGGUGAAACCCCAUAUCUUUAAAAAAAAAAAAAAAAAUUAAGUCACAAAUUAGUAUAGAAAAUAUCACCUAAUUGUGCCUUCUGGCCACUCAGUUCCACUCCUAAGAGACAGCCAGUGUUCAGAUAUACUCUCAUCUUUCCAAAUAUAUUCCAUCUAUGUAUGCUUGCAAAUAUAUGCCUUUUGAGAUAAAACACACCCACACACAAAUAGCAGCAUACUACAUGUACUGUUCAUGCACUUUGAUCUUUUCAUUUCCUACACCUUAAAGAGUUUCCUAAUUACUUCAUAUAGAGCUGCCUUACUCCUUUUAAGAGCUGCUACUAAUUCACUAUAUGACUGUAUCAAUUAUUUUACCAGUUCCCUACUCAUGGGUGAUUAGGUUUUGUAAGAACUUUUGUGCUUACAAACACAGCAAUGAAUACCUUCGUGCUAUUUUUAACCCCCACAUAUGCAUAAAUGCAUGUAAAUCUAUGUUAUAUGCCUAUAAUAAAUCUGCUAAAAAGUUGUGUAUUCAUGUGUGACUGCAUGUAUGCACACACACUUUUACAAAAAAAAGUAUACUGAAGUACAGCACACAAAUUCAGAACAGUAUGAUUCUUAAGUUCAUAGCUUGAUGAAUUUUCCCAAUAUGAUCCCACUUAACAGAGAUUAAAAAAAAAAAAAAAAACUACAACUUUAUAAGCCUCCAAAAGCCCCUCAUUUCUCCACCCAGUAAGCUCCCCAAGAGUAAUACCACCCUGACUUCUAACACCACAAUUUUGUCUGUUUUUGAACGUGUAUUUUUGUGUUUGGCUCUUUCACCUAACAUUAUGUUUGUGAGUCAUUCAUGUUGUGUGAAUUGUAAUUCAUUAUUAUUGCUCUAUAAUAUCCCAUUAUGUAAAUACAUCACAACUUCUCUAAACUUAUCUGUAUUACACAAGGUAUGUGAAUUCUUACAUUUUAAUAAAUAUUAUUCAAUUGCUCUCCAAAGAGUUUAGAAUCUUACCAUUAACAUGUGGAAGUAGCUAUUUUCCUACACCUUAGCCAACAGCUAAUCAAAUGUCUUAAUCUUGGCUAAUCGGAUAUUUUUAAAAUGCUUUCAAUACAGUUUCAAUUUGCUUUUCUCUUAUAACAACUGAAACUAAGGAACAUUUCAUACAUUUAGGUAUAAAAGCCACUUGACUUUCCUUUGAACUGCCUCUGAAUGUGUCCACUUGGCCUUUUCUAUCAGCAGGUGACCCUGCUUUGUAAAGGAAAUUAGCCCUUUGAACAUGCUGCACGGCAACUAGUUUUUCCCAGCUUAUCACUGCAGUCCCAGUUUUGUUUAUACUAGUUUUUGCCCUGUCUAGGUUGUCUGUUUUUUUGUGGUUUUGUUUAAGAUUAAAAGUCCCACUCUGUUGCCCAGGCUGGAGUGCAGUGCAGUGGUGGGAUCUCAAUGGUUCAUGCCUGUAAUCCUAGCACUUUGGGAGGCCAAGGUGGGUGGAUCACUUGAGGUCAGGAGUUCAAAACCAGCCUGGCUGACAUGGUGAAACCCCCAUCUCUACUAAAAAAAUAA